AGAGUUUGAUUAUGGCUCAGGAUGAACGCUAGCGACAGGCUUAACACAUGCAAGUCGAGGGGCAGCAUAAAAGUAGCAAUACUUGGUGGCGACCGGCGCACGGGUGAGUAACGCGUAUGCAACCUACCUAUCAGAGGGGAAUAACCCGGCGAAAGUCGGACUAAUACCGCAUAAAACAGGGGCACCGCAUGGUGAUAUUUGUUAAAGAAAUUCGCUGAUAGAUGGGCAUGCGUUCCAUUAGGUAGUUGGUGAGGUAACGGCUCACCAAGCCGACGAUGGAUAGGGGAACUGAGAGGUUGGUCCCCCACACUGGUACUGAGACACGGACCAGACUCCUACGGGAGGCAGCAGUGAGGAAUAUUGGUCAAUGGGCGGGAGCCUGAACCAGCCAAGUCGCGUGAAGGAAGAAGGAUCUAUGGUUCGUAAACUUCUUUUGCAGGGGAAUAAAGUGCAGGACGUGUCCUGUUUUGUAUGUACCCUGAGAAUAAGGAUCGGCUAACUCCGUGCCAGCCGCAGC
rnacentral:rRNA from 1 species